GUAGGUGAACCUGCGGAAGGAUCAUCAUUGAAUUCAUUUCUACCAACCCUGUGAACAACUGUGCGCGGGGUAGACAGAGUUCUAUACUUUGUCGGCCCCAUUUAUGCGCACUGUUAAUACAAACUCUAAAAACAACAAACUGAAGCAAUUAUUAUAUAUUUAUAACCAAAACAACUUUCAACAAUGGAUCUCUUGGCUCUC
rnacentral:misc_RNA from 1 species